AUUGCUUCUUCUUUGUCUUUCAUAAUUUCAAUGUUUAUAGAGUUUGGGCCUUCCCAAUUGAAUUGUGGCCCAACUAGUUUUUUCUUGUUUCCCUUAUCUGUGCUGAAAAGCAUUUCCAUAUCUUCAGUUGGUUCUUCUCUAUAAUCACAAGACCACUCUAUUCGACCAUCAUUCACCUCACUCUGUCUCGCCUUUUUAAACCCAAAUAGAUCCUUCUUUCUCCAUACCUUCCUGACAAUGUUGCCAACAUGAUUCAUUGAGGGCUUAUUUUAUUUGCUCUCAGUGUUGUACCUUUUGUACUCACCAUCACUGACCUGCUCAAGAUUAAAUAAUAAAUCAAAUCGAGAUUUAGUGGAGAAAUUUUUACCUCGACCUGUGUGAAGACUGCCUUGAUGUUGAUCGAAGCUUCUGUUCGUUGGAUACUCAGAGUUUUUGCCCAUUGGAAGCCUCGUGGUUCAUGAUCGAAUUGGUCUUUGAGGAGGAUCCUUAACUUCUUUGAUGCUUGGUGAUGCAGAGAACUUAAAAUUUGGAUCAACAACAAACUUUGGAUUCAUCAGGGAGGGAGUGAUGCUAUUAGCCCUUCUUUGACAGAGCUAACGAACCUUCAGCUACCCACAAGCUGGUUUUUGUUCCGGAUUAAGCUUGGUUUUGAUAUCGGGGUUGCUUUUGCAAACCUCGCUCCACAAGACUAGAUGAACUUUCUUCUUAGCCUCAGUCAAGCCCCAAAUUAAUUCUCGAUUCUUUCUAUCAAGCACGUCACAAUUACCCAUGGGGAGAAGGGCAAUUUGCAUCGUGUAGCCAGCAAUAGCGGACAUCACAGACUGCACAAGUGUGGUUCUACCAGCCAAAGAUAAAGAGUUAACUUUCCAGCUGAUUAACCUCUUUUUAACCUUAUCAAUUACCCUCGAGAAUGUUUCUUUCCCGACUAGUUUCAUGUGUAAUUGAAUCCCAAGGUAUUUGCCCAGAUUACCAGUUCUGGUAAAACCCAAAAGAGAGCUCAACUCUUCCCGUCUCAUGUUAUGAACGUUAUCAAAGAAAUAAAUUCUCAUUUCAGCUA